UACGUAGGUGGCAAGCGUUAUCCGGAAUUAUUGGGCGUAAAGAGCGCGCAGGUGGUUGAUUAAGUCUGAUGUGAAAGCCCACGGCUUAACAGUGGAGGGUCAUUGGAAACUGGUCGACUUGAGUGCAGAAGAGGGAAGUGGAAUUCCAUGUGUAGCGGUGAAAUGCGUAGAGAUAUGGAGGAACACCAGUGGCGAAGGCGGCUUCCUGGUCUGUAACUGACACUGAGGCGCGAAAGCGUGGGGAGCAAACAGGAUUAGA
rnacentral:rRNA from 1 species